UCCGGUUUGGCACCGGCAGUCUCCCUAGAGUUCCCGGCAUGACCCGCUGGCAACUAAGGACAGGGGUUCCGCUCGUUGCGCCACUUAAGGCAACACCUCACGGCACGAGCUGACGACAGCCAUGCACCACCUGUGCAGGCUCCGAAGAGGGUCGUCUUUCGACGAUUUCACCCUGCAUGUCAAGCCCAGGUAAGGUUCUUCGCGUUGCGUCGAAUUAAACCACAUGCUCCACCGCUUGUGCGGGCCCCCGUCAAUUCCUUUGAGUUUCAACCUUGCGGUCGUACUCCCCAGGCGGGGUACUUCCUGCGUUAGCGCCGGCACCCAGAGGGUCGCUCCCCCAGGCACCUAGUACCCAUCGUUUAGGGCGUGGACUAC
rnacentral:misc_RNA from 1 species